ACUUGCCAGCCCAAUCUGGUGCUCCCUUUAUGACUAACGUAACGUAAGAGUAUACAUAAAUAACUGCUUUGUGCUAUAUUUAGAGAGUCAUAUAUUGAAUAGAGACUUUAUCUAAUGGCACAUACCUUGCGUAAUAUUAAAUUCCUGUGCGUGGAUAUUACUUUAUUAAAAUUUAAGUGCUGAGUUAUUCAGUUUGACUUAGCAGUUCGUUGACGAAAGACGUGUGUGUCCACUGGGAACUCCAGCUCUGAGACCCUACGAGGCAGUACCGAAAAAUGUGAUUUCUCUUAAUUCUUGGUGAUCUACAACUUGGCCCAGUAGAUUUCACAAAACGUGUGUGACACGGUUCAAAUGGAUUUGGCAACACCUCAUCGAAACUGCGGUUUAACUCAACAAAUUUCUAAAAGUCUGAAUUAACAGCUAAGCGCCUGUUAUUUCUUUUUUUUCAAAUUCCGAUCUCCAGGACAUUGUAAAUAAACAUGAAUUAUAAUGCAUCCCUAAAAGUUUUUAAAUACGCUUGAGAGAUCGAGAAUGUUUGCGCUAACAAGAAAUCUACAAAAGUUUAAAAUAUUCUGAACAUUAUUUUAUUUCCUUCUUGCUAAGAAUGCACGUUUCUUAUUGAUUCUUAAAACCUUUGAAAUAACACUAAAUGAGCUUUGUUGAUAAACCUUUUUAA